UACAGAGGAGCCAAGCGUUGUCCGGAUUGACUGGGCGUAAAGCGCACGCAGGCGGAUGCGCGCGUGGGGUGUGAAAUCUGGCCGCUUAACGGCCAGGCGCCAUCCCAUACGGCGCGUCUGGAGUGAUUCAGAGGUCGAUGGAAUUGCCGGUGUAGUGGUGAAAUGCGUAGAGAUCGGCAGGAACACCCAGGGGGAAACCAGUCGACUGGGCAUCUACUGACGCUGAGGUGCGAGAGCGUGGGGAGCGAACCGG
rnacentral:rRNA from 1 species